GACACGAGAAGAAGGAUAGGAACCAGCGUAACUGGGAACAACUAGCAACUAUUACGAGCAAUAUCUUUUAAAGUCCUUAGACACUCUUGUUUACUCACUGCUAUCCCAUACUCAUACUGCUGCUUGCCCAGUACUAUUUGUUACUGAAGAGUGUUGUUGAUAUUGCCAUUCCUACCGCUACUACAACCACCACAGUACCACCACCGCUUUUUUUACGCAUCCUUUCCCCAUCUCAAACGUACGGGAUAAUUCUCUCAAAGCGUGGAAUCAAACCCUUUGUUUUAAUUGUUUUUUACUCGUUCACCUGCUAUUUGGUGGGCUGUCUGACUUUUGUUUUCUCAUUGGCUAGUUGGAUUGUUGGACAAGGUUGUCUUAUCAUUGCAUCGAUAUACCUCAUUUCCACCCGUUGAUUGAUCAACCCUUGUAAACUUAGCCUUUGUUUGCUAUAGAAACGGCUUAGUCACUUGUCGUUCUUAUUUUGGAAAUCGUUCUGUCUUUUCCCUAUAUCGCCUACUUCACGUUACUGUUAGUUUUGAUUGAGCGAAGCAGUUUUAACGAUACGAAUCAAAUUGAAUUGAAUUUUUUUAUUCACAAUCCCAAUCAUCGUCUUAUUUUUUUUUAAACCACCAUCAAUCUUCCUUCUUACAAUCCAAGUGGUUUUGCUUUAACUUGGACUUUGUGGUUAUUAUUGGUUUUUUGUAUUUAUAAUAAUUUUAGGAUUUCGGGUUUACCUUUUUUUGUUGAUAUAAUAUAUAUCUUUUUACUUAGAAAAAGAAAAGAAAGGAAUAUAUACAUUUCCAAAGUGUGAAUUACUUGGUUUCCCUCUCUUUACUUGUUUUUGUUGCUACUACUACUACUACUACUUUUGUUGUUCAAUUGGUCUUGUCGUCGUUUCUCGGUCUUUCAUUUUUACUCAGCAUCUUUUUAAUUGUCUUUUUUUGGUGACAUUUCCUCUCACCUGUACUAUCUGCCCCGUUAGCCUAUACUAUUCGUGUUUAACGUUUUAAAUUUUUUCCUUCAUUGCAUUUGUUGAAGUGCAGUUUAUUUGAAGAAAAAUUAUUUUUGGCUUUGCUUUUUUUUCGCAAUCGUCUCUUUCUUUUCAGCUUUAACGUUGUAUAAAUUAGAUUAAACCUUUAAAAAGAGAGAAAAAUAGAUACCUAAAGACCUUUUGCUUGGCU